rnacentral:rRNA from 1 species
UACACAUGCAAGUCGAGCGGAUGACAGGAGCUUGCUCCUGAAUUCAGCGGCGGACGGGUGAGUAAUGCCUAGGAAUCUGCCUGGUAGUGGGGGACAACGUUUCGAAAGGAACGCUAAUACCGCAUACGUCCUACGGGAGAAAGCAGGGGACCUUCGGGCCUUGCGCUAUCAGAUGAGCCUAGGUCGGAUUAGCUAGUUGGUGAGGUAAUGGCUCACCAAGGCGACGAUCCGUAACUGGUCUGAGAGGAUGAUCAGUCACACUGGAACUGAGACACGGUCCAGACUCCUACGGGAGGCAGCAGUGGGGAAUAUUGGACAAUGGGCGAAAGCCUGAUCCAGCCAUGCCGCGUGUGUGAAGAAGGUCUUCGGAUUGUAAAGCACUUUAAGUUGGGAGGAAGGGCAUUAACCUAAUACGUUAGUGUUUUGACGUUACCGACAGAAUAAGCACCGGCUAACUCUGUGCCAGCAGCCGCGGUAAUACAGAGGGUGCAAGCGUUAAUCGGAAUUACUGGGCGUAAAGCGCGCGUAGGUGGUUUGUUAAGUUGGAUGUGAAAGCCCCGGGCUCAACCUGGGAACUGCAUUCAAAACUGACAAGCUAGAGUAUGGUAGAGGGUGGUGGAAUUUCCUGUGUAGCGGUGAAAUGCGUAGAUAUAGGAAGGAACACCAGUGGCGAAGGCGACCACCUGGACUGAUACUGACACUGAGGUGCGAAAGCGU